UACGUAGGGUGCAAGCGUUGUCCGGAAUUAUUGGGCGUAAAGAGCUCGUAGGCGGUUUGUCGCGUCUGCUGUGAAAACUCGGGGCUUAACUCCGGGCCUGCAGUGGGUACGGGCAGACUAGAGUGCGGUAGGGGAGACUGGAAUUCCUGGUGUAGCGGUGAAAUGCGCAGAUAUCAGGAGGAACACCGGUGGCGAAGGCAGCUCGCUGGGACGUGACUGACGCUGAGACGCGAAAGCGUGGGGAGCAAACAGG
rnacentral:rRNA from 1 species